rnacentral:rRNA from 1 species
UAAAAUUUAUAAAAUUAGGUAGUAAAGAAUUUUCCGAAACCUAAAGAAUUUGGCGGUAUUUUAAAUAAUUGGAGGAACCUGUUAUUUAAUUGAUAUUCCACAACAUAUCUCACCUAAAUUUUAUUUGUAUAUCGUCGUUUUGAUAAUAUUUAAAAAUUAUUAUCAAUCCUAAUAAACUUUUAAAAAUCAGAUCAAGGUGCAGUAUAUUUAGGAUAUAAUGGGUUACAAUAUAAAAAUAUAUUACGGAUAUGGCUAUGAAAAUGUAAUUAAAGGAGGAUUCAAAAGUAAGGUUAAUAUAAAAUGUUAACUUGACUAAUAAUUUAAAAUAUGC